CUACGGGAGGCACCAGUGGGGAAUAUUGCACAAUGGGGGAAACCCUGAUGCAGCGACGCCGCGUGAAGGAUGAAGGAUUUCGGUUCGUAAACUUCUAUCAGCAGGGAAGAUAGUGACUGUACCUGACUAAGAAGCCCCGGCUAACUACGUGCCAGCAGCCGCGGUAAUACGUAGGGGGCAAGCGUUAUCCGGAAUUACUGGGUGUAAAGGGUGCGUAGGCGGCUGAUUAAGCCAGAUGUGAAAGCCCGGGGCUCAACCUCGGGACUGCAUUUGGAACUGGUCGGCUAGAAUACAGGAGAGGUAAGUGGAAUUCCUAGUGUAGCGGUGAAAUGCGUAGAUAUUAGGAGGAACACCAGUGGCGAAGGCGACUUACUGGACUGUUAUUGACGCUGAGGCACGAAAGCGUGGGGAGCGAACAGGAUUAGAUACCCUAGUAGUC
rnacentral:rRNA from 1 species